rnacentral:rRNA from 1 species
AUGUCGUCCAAUUGGCGGUCACUGCAGCACCGGCAUCGCUACACCUACACAUCGGUCGUCUUCCCCAAGCACUACCUGGAAGCACUGCCCCUUGUGCCGGCCCAGGUCUCCGCGUCCAAUUUCUUCGCCCAGCUGAACAAUUUGAUAUCCCUGCCAUCCACCUACGCGCAAAUCGUUGUGGUCAAGGACUUCGCCUCGGCGUUUGUGCAGUUUCUUUCUGCUCCAGCGAUAUCUGAUGAUGUCGUGCUUGCUGCCGCCAAGCUUUAUUUGGAGAUCCUCUUCUUUGAGAACUCGCUCCCUCUCCAUCGGGUGCUAAUAUCUGUGCUUGCCAAGUGCAACAAGUUCUCUGCGCUCAUUAGUGCCUGCUUUACUUUGCUGUGUGAAGAGUAUGGUGCCUCUGGUGUCAAGGCAAAGAAGAGAUUUUUGGUGUCUCGAGCUGCGUUGUCACUGAUUGGCUACCCCAAGUUGGGUUUUCUGAAUGAGGCAGUUGAGAAGGGUGUAGAGAUCAUGGCAUGGGAUGUGGUUGCUGGGCUUGAUGGAGUGAUUAGGGACAUAGAUGAUGGGUCCCGGCCAUCUCCAGUUGUGAUGGAGCAGUGCCAAGAGGCCAUGUCUUGCAUGUACUACUUGCUGCAGCGUUACCCUUCUAAGUUUACUGGACUUGAUGAGGCAUCAGCUGUCUUCAAGAGUGCUGUUAGGACGAUACUGACUGUUCUGAAGUCAUCUGCCUUUUCGAGGGAUUGUCUGGUGGCCUCUGGAGUUUGCUUCUGUGCUGCAAUUCAGGUUUUCAUGAGUACCGAGCAGAUUUCCUGGUUUAUUUCUCAAGGGCUCUUUGGUAUCUUUCCUGACCAUGAAGAGGAUCUAGCUGCGCAUGAUGCACUUUCUGAUUUUCAUCUGAGUGAAGAAAUCAGAGAUCUCUCGGUUUUGAGUAGACUUUGUUUGCUCAGAGGGAUUUUGACGGCUAUUCCAAGGAAAGCACUCAACGUGCGUCAGCUUCAUUCAAAUGGAUCUUUAUGGACUGUAUUGUAUGAUGGGAUUUUGCCUGAGCUUUGCAUGCACUGUGAGAACCCCAUUGAUAGGCACUUCAAUUUCCAUGCUCUGACAGUGACUCAAAUAUGUCUGCAGCAGAUUAAGACAUCUGUUUUGGCUGAUUUCACUGACUUCUCUGGUGACUAUAAGCCUUUCUCUAGGGAUGUUGUCAACCGUGUAUUAAAAAUCAUAUGGAGCAACCUGGAAGAUCCUUUGAGUCAGACUGUAAAACAAGUGCACCUCAUCUUUGAUCUCCUAUUGGAUAUUGAAUCGUGUCUUCCAUCAGAAGACCAAAGUGUCAAAUUGGUUCUGUGCGACAUUGCAAAUGAUUUACUUCGCCUAGGUCCGCGAUGCAAAGGGAGAUAUAUCCCUUUAGCUUCUUUGACGAGGCGAUUGGGUGCCAAAUCUCUUCUAAGCUUGAAAUCAAACCUCCUUUUAGAAACAGCCUAUGCUUACAUAGAUGAUGAUGUUUGUUGUGCUGCAACAUCGUUUUUAAAAUGCUUCCUUGAGAAUUUAAGGGAUGAAUGCUGGAAUGAGGAUGGUGUUGAGCAAGGAUAUGAUGCCUUUAGAGGGUUGUGCUUGCCUCCUUUGAUGCGGGGAUUAGUAUCUGGGAAUUCGAAGCUACGAUCCAAUUUAAAUACUUAUGCAGUACCCACUGUCAUCGAAGUUGACACAGACAGUAUAUUUGCAAUGCUUGGAUUCAUCUCUGUAGGCCCAAGUGCAGAUGCAAAUAAAUUGGAUGUGCCAUUGAAAAGUGACCAAUGUAUAGCCGCACUGGUUUCACUGCUAAAGGUCUCUCGAAAUCUCGCACUUGUGGAAGGGGACAUUCAUAUGGAUUCUGAUGAAUUGCUUGAGCAGGAGGAUAAUAAGGGUGCUGUAAUCAUAUCUGUUAAAGGGAUUACUGUUAGAGUACCUGCUAAUUGGUUUGUUUUGGCACUGACACACAGUGAUGAAACUCUGCGUAUAGAUGCUGCUGAAUCUCUCUUCCUAAAUCCUAAGACAUCAAGUCUUCCAUCCUCCUUGGAACUGAGUUUGCUUAAACUAGCAGUCCCAUUGAAUAUGCGUUGUAGCUCAACAGCAUUUCAAAUGAAAUGGGCAGGUUUAUUUAGAAAGUUUUUUGCUAGGGUGCGCACAGCACUGGACAGACAGCUAAAGCAGGGAUCAUGGCUGCCAUCACCAAACUCUAUUGUAAAAGAAGCUCAUCCUGUGGACACUGUUAUGGACACUACUGUGCAGAGAGCGGAAGAUCUCUUCCAGUUCAUGAAGUGGUUGGGCUCCUUCCUAUUUAAUUCUUGUUACCCUUCUGCCCCUUAUGAAAGGAAAACAAUUGCAAUGGAGCUUAUUCUUAUAAUGGUAGAUGUAUGGCCUAUUCGUCGCUCUGAAGGGAAGACUGAUGUUCAUCCUUAUAAUGACAGCAUAACAUUGCCAGAUUCAACAAUUUCAUUUGUAGGGUCUAUAAUUGAUAGCUGGGACAAGCUAAGGGAAAAUUCUUUCCGCAUUCUGUUGCAGUUUCCAACACCUCUUCCUGGAAUUUCCCAGAGUGCAUCCAUAAAUGAUGUUAUCAGAUGGGCAAAAGAACUCGUGCUAAGCCCGCGAGUUCGGGAAAGUGACGCUGGCGCAUUAACCUUCCGACUUAUAUUUCGGAAGUAUGUUUUGGAGCUUGGAUGUGUUAUUGUUUUCUCUGAAGAAAAUGAUUGCCUUCAGUGUUACACGAAAUCUACAGAUGAAGAUACAGAAGUAAUUACCAGUCAAAACCCAGUUGCACAGUACAUUUCAUCACUCAUUCAGUGGCUGUGUACUGUUGUAGAAGAGGGUGAGAGGGAUCUUUGUGAAGCAUGUAAGAGAAGCUUUGUUCAUGGAGUUCUUCUUACCUUGCGCUACACAUUUGAUGAGCUGAAUUGGAACUCUGCAGCAAUCCAAUCGUGUCUUUCAGAGAUGAGGAGUUUGGUUGGAAAGCUUCUUCAACUCAUAAUGCGUAUAACAUCGCUAGCCCUGUGGGUAGUUUCUUCUGAUGCAUGGUAUAUGCCAUAUGAUAUGGAUGACAUGAUUGAUGAUGGCUCCUUUCUCUUGGAUAUAAUUGAUGAGGAUCAACCUGAUACUGCUUUAGCAACGACAGAGAAGAAUGCCAAAUCAGGGAAUAAUGGCAAACCGGCCGAACAUGUUAUUAUGGUUGGUUGUUGGCUUGCUAUGAAGGAGGUUAGCCUUCUAUUUGGAACCAUUGUCAGGAAAAUUCCAUUGCCUGUCUGUUCUCACUCAAAUUCAUCUCAGAAUGGUUUGUCUGACAAUACCGAGCAGACAAACAUGUCUGGGGAGGUUCUAGAUGUGGAACAGUUAGAGAUGAUGGGUGAUCAUUUUUUGCAAGUUCUUCUUAAAAUGAAGCAUAAUGGUGCAAUUGAUAAGACAAGGGCUGGACUUACUGCCCUCUGCAACCGUCUUCUUUGCUCAAAUGAUUCAAGGCUCUGCAAAAUGACGGAAUCGUGGAUGCUGUUACUGAUGGAUAGGGCAGUUGCUAAAGGGCAAACUGUGGAUGAUUUGCUAAGAAGGAGCGCAGGAAUCCCUGCUUCUUUUAUGGCACUGUUCCUUGCAGAGCCAGAUGGAACUCCAAAGAAGCUACUUCCAAGGGCGUUACAAUGGCUGAUAGAAUUUGCUAAAACGUCUUUAUCUAAUUUUCAGAAAGAUCACAACCAGAAAUCUGAAGCAAUGAAAGACUGCAUUGUAGAUUCGUGUGAGUCACAAUCAGGAAUCACCACAAGUGUUCAUUCUAAUGGAAAUUUGUCAAAAAGCCGAGAUGAGGGUGUUGUUCCUACAGUGCAUGCAUUCAAUGUGCUUAGAGCUGCUUUUAAUGAUGCAAAUUUAGCAGCUGACACUUCGGGUUUCUGUGCUGAGGCAACGAUAGUUGCAGUACAUGCAUUUUCAUCUCCUUACUGGGAAGUGCGUAAUGCAGCUUGUCUAGCAUAUACUGCACUGGUUCGCCGCAUGGUUGGGUUUUUGAAUGUGCAGAAACGGGAGUCUGCACGACGGUCAAUAUCUGGCCUUGAAUUCUUCCACAGGUACCCGGCACUUCAUCCAUUCCUUUCUAGUGAACUGAAAGUUGCAACAGAACUAUUAGCUGAUGGGGUUUCCUGCAAUUUAGAGUCACAUAUCGCAAAAGCCAUACACCCCAGCCUGUGCCCUAUUCUUAUUCUUUUAUCAAGGCUUAAGCCGUCACCCAUUAGCUGUGCAACCGAUGAUCCUUUAGAUCCAUUUUUGCUUUUACCUUUUAUCCAGAAAUGUGCUACCCAGAGUAACUACCGGGUUCGUGUCCUUGCAUCAAGGGCUUUAAUUGGUCUGGUAUCUAACGAGAGACUGCAGCACGUUGUUGGUGAUAUACUGGAUGAUUUACCUUGUGGAGGUCGUAAAGUGUCAACUCAUAAUUCUCAGUCUUCUUCAUUCAAUUCAAUCCAUGGCCUUCUUCUGCAGCUGUUUUCCCUUCUCGAUAGAAACUUCAGAGGUUUGACAGACAGUAACAAGAAGGAUCAGAUUCUUGGCCAACUAGUCGAGGUUCUCUCAAAGUGCUCUUGGCUUGGCUGCUGUAAAUUAUGUGCAUGCCCUGUUGUAAGUACAUCAUACUUACGGGUUCUGGAUCAGAUGCUUGAUGUUGCAAGGACAGGGAAAAGCAAGCAUACUGACGUUAUCCGGACACUGCUGUUACAAUUGAGUUCCCAGAGUCUGAACAAUGUAACAUCAACCCACCAUGCUUUCCAUGAUCCUACCCAGAUUGAAUUUCAGCAGCAAGCAGUUGCAUCAUAUUUCAGCUGUGUUGGUAUUCCCAAGGGACAUGAUGAAACCGCUGAGGAAGAUGUUCGAUUGCAAAUACUUGAUCAGUCGACUUCAAGCAUGUCAGAGACGCCUUGUGCGGUCUCCCUCACUGAGCUGCACAAGGAGAUAAUGUCUUGCCUUGCCAAUCCUAUAUAUGAUGUUAGAAUCACAGCGCUGAAGAGGAUUCUGCAGCUUGUGAAAUCAAUCAGGUCUGGUGAUAGUAAGAACAUUUUGCAUCAAUGGGCUAGGGCUAGUCUGCACUCUGUGAUUAUGGAACGGUUAUCUGUGGAAGAACACCCCAAAUGCCUUUAUUAUAGUCUAAGGAUCAUAUUUUCAUGGAACGUGGAAUGCCAGUUCAACAAUGGAGAAGAUUGCAAUACAUUUUUAUCCAUCUGGGACAGAUUAGUUCUUUUGAACAGCACUGUGUCACAUGCAAAAACCAGAGAAAUAAUUCUAUGUUGCAUGGGUAUGUGCAUGAAGCAGUUUGCUAAAUUGAUGAGGGAUGGCGUGUUACCGGAAGGUCUUAAAACGAGUGAGCUCUCUACUUCCUCUGGGAGUAUCCACAAAGGGAAUAAUAGAUUGUCCGCAGCCAUUAUCAGCACAGACCUUUUUGUCAGUCUUGUUAAGAAGCAAAGUGCACCAUCUGAAACCGUGAAUUCUCGUAGGGCUGCCGCUGAAGCAAUUAUCGCUUCAGGUCUUCUUGAAGAGGCAAAUUUUGUCAAAGCACGUGUGUCCAACACAUACAUUCCUUCGGAACAAGACAACGAAUGCCAUCUCGAGGAGAAAUGCUUGAAAGCUAGCCCGGGUGAAUUUGCCAGUCUCUAUGCAUGCAAGAUACUUGACCUAUGGUUCAUAUGCAUCCAGUUGCUGGAGGAUGAGGAUGUCCAUCUUCGGCAGAAACUCGCCAACGAUGUCCAGAAGAUAAUUGGAAAUGGGUCAGGCAACAAGCUAUGUGAUGAUUCCACGCCACUGCAAGUGGACAGGGUGAUUGCGUUGAGCUUCGAGUUCAUAACCUGCUUGUUUGGUCACUGGCUGAAAUAUGUCGAGUACUUGCUAAGGAUGGUUUUGGACACUGCUAACACGUUGGACUCGGAUGGUGACUUGGUCCGUCAGAUAUUCGACAAAGAAAUCGAUAACCACCAUGAGGAGAAGCUGCUGAUAUGCCAAAUCAGCUGCUCAAACAUUCAGAAGCUCAUGCGGUCUGGGCAUCAGCUGGCAACAUCAGGGAGAAGCGAAGCGUUGUUGCAGAACUGGAGGGAGCGCUUCUUGCACCAGCUUACGUCGUUGACGAGUGGCUACCUCGAGAAAGAGGGGAAAACCGAUUGGAUUGGCGGCAUUGGCAACCACAAGGAUGUGUUCGCGUCGGUAUACGCGAAUCUGCUCGGCCUGUAUGCGCUCACCGAAUCAAGUUGGUUACCGGAACAAGCGGAGGACAGGCACGAAUCGUAUCUGCGAGAAUUUUCAGACCUGGAGGGGUUCAUCGCCCCGUUCCUGAAGAACCCUUUGAUCUCCAACCUUUACUUGCUGGUGAAGCGGUCGCAUAAGCCGGAAGAGGACCAGGGGGGAGGCUCUGCCGCCUCGGAAAAUUUUGAUCCAUAUUUUCUCCUCAGAUGA